GGGGUAACGGCCUACCAAGUCUACGAUCAGUAGCCGGACUGAGAGGUUGAACGGCCACAUUGGGACUGAGAUACGGCCCAGACUCCUACGGGAGGCAGCAGUGGGGAAUAUUGCACAAUGGGGGAAACCCUGAUGCAGCAACGCCGCGUGAAGGAUGACGGUUUUCGGAUUGUAAACUUCUUUUCUUAGUGACGAAGACAGUGACGGUAGCUAAGGAAUAAGCAUCGGCUAACUACGUGCCAGCAGCCGCGGUAAUACGUAGGAUGCAAGCGUUAUCCGGAUUUACUGGGUGUAAAGGGAGCGCAGGCGGGACUGCAAGUUGGAUGUGAAAUACCGUGGCUUAACCACGGAACUGCAUCCAAAACUGUAGUUCUUGAGUGAAGUAGAGGCAAGCGGAAUUCCGAGUGUAGCGGUGAAAUGCGUAGAUAUUCGGAGGAACACCAGUGGCGAAGGCGGCUUGCUGGGCUUUAACUGACGCUGAGGCUCGAAAGUGUGGGGAGCAAACAGGAUUAGAUACCCUGGUAGUCCACACUGUAAACGAUGAUAGCUAGGUGUGGGGGGUCUGACCCCUUCCGUGCCGGAGUUAACGCAAUAAGCUAUCCACCUGGGGAGUACGACCGCAAGGUUGCAACUCAAAGGAA
rnacentral:rRNA from 1 species